rnacentral:rRNA from 1 species
GACGAACGCUGGCGGCGUGCCUAAUACAUGCAAGUUGAGCGAUGAAGAUUGGUGCUUGCACCAAUUUGAAGAGCAGCGAACGGGUGAGUAACGCGUGGGGAAUCUGCCUUUGAGCGGGGGACAACAUUUGGAAACGAAUGCUAAUACCGCAUAACAACUUUAAACAUAAGUUUUAAGUUUGAAAGAUGCAAUUGCAUCACUCAAAGAUGAUCCCGCGUUGUAUUAGCUAGUUGGUGAGGUAAAGGCUCACCAAGGCGAUGAUACAUAGCCGACCUGAGAGGGGGAUCGGCCACAUUGGGACUGAGACACGGCCCAAACUCCUACGGGAGGCAGCAGGAGGGAAUCUUCGGCAAUGGACGAAAGUCUGACCGAGCAACGCCGCGUGAGUGAAGAAGGGUUUCGGAUCGUAAAACUCUGUUGGUAGAGAAGAACGUUGGUGAGAGUGGAAAGCGCAUCAAGUGACGGUAACUACCCAGAAAGGGACGGCUAACUACGUG